rnacentral:tRNA from 1 species
GCCCGUGUGGCGGAAUUCGGUAGACGCAGCGGACUUAAAAUUCGUGGGUUUUUAUAGACCUUGGGAGUUCAAAUCUCCCCAUGGGCACCA